AGAGAGAGAGAGAGAGAGAGAGAGAGAGAGAGAUUUUAUUUGCAUGUACAUUUACCAACAUUAGCAUUAAAAGAAAAAAACACAUUACUGGUAAUUAAACUUUAAAUUAAUGAUGCUUAAAAACUUGGCUGUUGUACCAGGCAUGUCUGAAUUUAAAACAAUUAUAACCCAGUUUUUUAAAAAUUGAUGUUUUUUCUUUAUGCUGAUUUAAGAGUCUUGUAUUUUUUUCAAUAUUAAGUGCUUUUAGAGGAUGUGUUGUCGAAACUUGAUUUUGUAACAUACUCUGUAUAUUUUAAACUUUUCAUAUUUUUAAGAAUUUGGAUUGUGUCCUGACUCUUAACUGUUUAUUACAUUCUGUCAAGUCCCACUUUUGUCCUACAAGCUCUAACUCAAGUGUCAUGUUCUAUAUGUUCAUCUAUGGUUUUGAACUUAAAUCAUUUCAAUUCAAUCAGCUUUAUUCUAGUCUACAAAAUAUUUAACAUGAAUUGUCAAUGUGUUUGUUAAUUCAGAAUCCACCUUAGUUUCUGUAAUCGCGUUGUUCUGUAGUUUUGUGGAUGGAAGCUUCUUUUUAGUGUCUUAUAUUUUGCUGACUUUUUAAAAGUUAUACCACUACCACCCUUUAGAUGCGAUUCUAGUAUACUUAGUAUUUCUGACUUUGUGAUAAGCUGGCUUCAGUGUACUUGUACUUGUUUCUCUAUAAAUGGUGCAACCUCUGAACCAGACAGCAUUAAGUGACUGCUUCAUUUUAUUAUCUGUUAUAUUUUUUUUUGUUAAAUGAAUAAAUCACUAGAUUAAGCAAC
rnacentral:sRNA from 1 species